UUAACAUUAUAUUCACUUUAGUGAAUGAGCUAACAGAUAUGAGGUGUAUGUUUAAAAUUUCUAGAUGAAAACAUCCAGCUCUAAAACCAUUGCUAUUCGAGGUUGCCGCUAAUUUUCAAUUAGGACAGGCUGACCCAUGAAAUAGUGAUGACCUGAAGUCUGGGACAUAU
rnacentral:ncRNA from 1 species